rnacentral:rRNA from 1 species
UACGUAGGGUGCGAGCGUUGUCCGGAAUUAUUGGGCGUAAAGGGCUCGUAGGCGGUUUGUCGCGUCGGGAGUGAAAACCAUGAGCUUAACUCAUGGCUUGCUUUCGAUACGGGCAGACUAGAGGUAUGCAGGGGAGAACGGAAUUCCUGGUGUAGCGGUGAAAUGCACAGAUAUCAGGAGGAACACCGGUGGCGAAGGCGGUUCUCUGGGCAUUACCUGACGCUGAGGAGCGAAAGUGUGGGGAGCGAACAGG